rnacentral:rRNA from 1 species
GAUCAUGCCUCAGGAUGAACGCUAGCUACAGGCUUAACACAUGCAAGUCGAGGGGCAGCAUGGUCUUAGCUUGCUAAGGCCGAUGGCGACCGGCGCACGGGUGAGUAACGCGUAUCCAACCUGCCUUACACUCUUGGACAGCCUUCUGAAAGGGAGAUUAAUACAAGAUGUUAUCAUGAGUAAGCAUUUUCGCAUGAUUAAAGGUUUACCGGUGUAAGAGUGGGAUGUCGUU